GAUGAACGCUAGCGGCAGGCUUAACACAUGCAAGUCGAGGGGUAGCAAGAUUGUAGCAAUACAAUUGUUGACGACCGGCAAACGGGUGCGGAACACGUACACAACCUUCCUACAAGUGGGGAAUAGCCCAGAGAAAUUUGGAUUAAUACCCCGUAACAUAGCGAUGUGGCAUCACAUUGCUAUUAUAGCUUCGGCGCUUGUUGAUGGGUGUGCGGCUGAUUAGAUAGUUGGCGGGGUAACGGCCCACCAAGUCUACGAUCAGUAGCUGAUGUGAGAGCAUGAUCAGCCACACGGGCACUGAGACACGGGCCCGACUCCUACGGGAGGCAGCAGUAAGGAAUAGUGGACAAUGGACGCAAGUCUGAUCCAGCCAUACCGCGUGGGUGAAGAAGGCCUUCGGGUUGUAAAGCCCUUUUGUUGGGAAAGAAAUCCAUUUGGUUAAUACCCGGGUGGGAUGACGGUACCCAAAGAAUAAGCACCGGCUAACUUCGUGCCAGCAGCCGCGGUAACAC
rnacentral:rRNA from 1 species